UACGGAGGAUGCGAGCGUUAUCCGGAUUUAUUGGGUUUAAAGGGUGCGUAGGCGGGACCAUAAGUCAGCGGUGAAAGUUUUCGGCUCAACCGGAAAAUUGCCGUUGAAACUGUGGUUCUUGAGUGCAGAAGAGGUAGGCGGAAUUCGUUGUGUAGCGGUGAAAUGCGUAGAUAUAACGAAGAACACCAAUUGCGUAGGCAGCUUACCAUACUGCAACUGACGCUGAGGCACGAAAGUGUGGGUAUCAAACAGGAUUAGAUACCCCGUAGUCCCUGA
rnacentral:rRNA from 1 species